GAUGAACGCUGGCGGCGUGCCUAAUACAUGCAAGUCGAGCGAACGGACGAGACGCUUGCUUCUCUGAUGUUAGCGGCGGACGGGUGAGUAACACGUGGAUAACCUACCUAUAAUACUGGGAUAACUUCGGGAAACCGGCGCUAAUACCGGAUAAUAUUUUGAACCGCAUGGUUCAAAAGUGAAAGACGGUCUUGCUGUCACUUAUAGAUGGAUCCGCGCUGCAUUAGCUAGUUGGUAAGGUAACGGCUUACCAAGGCAACGAUGCAUAGCCGACCUGAGAGGGUGAUCGGCCACACUGAAACUGAGACACGGUCCAGACUCCUACGGGAGGCAGCAGUAGGGAAUCUUCCGCAAUGGGCGAAAGCCUGACGGAGCAACGCCGCGUGAGUGAUGAAGGUCUUCGGAUCGUAAAACUCUGUUAUGAGGGAAGAACAUAUGUGUAAGUAACUGUGCACAUCUUGACGGUACCUAAUCAGAAAGCCACGGCUAACUACGU
rnacentral:rRNA from 1 species